GGGGAGGUGAGCCAGAGUUAUUCAUGGCCUCGCAUGUUCUCCAGAUGCCAAUUACGGUUUAUAUGCUUGAUGACGAUGCGGGUGGUCUGAUUGCAAUUGCCGAGUACGGCCAAGAAUAUGGAAAGGAGGAUCCAAUUCGAGUUCUUUAUUAUGGUUUUGGCCACUAUGAUGCCUUGCAGAUGCCUGGAAAGAAGGGUCCAAAAUCAAGGCUAUAGCAUAGAAAAAGGAAGGGGAGGGGGUGAUUGCAAUUGCCGAGUACGGCCAAGAAUAUGGAAAGGAGGAUCCAAUUGGAGUUCUUUAUUAUGGUUUUGGCCACUAUGAUGCCUUGCAGAUGCCUGGAAAGAAGGGUCCAAAAUCAAGGCUAUAGCAUAGAAAAAGGAAGGGGGGGGGGGGGGGGGGGGGGGGGGGGGGGGGGAGGGGUUGGUUGGAUGGUGAGUUAAUACAUACUGGCUUUGGAUAUUCAUUCCAUAUUCCAUUAAUAUUUGAACACUCUCAAAGUUGCAGAUAUAACAGCAUCAAUGGAAUAUGAUUUACAAGCAAAGUGGAUUCUGUAAUAAACUGCAUACUAUACGAUGACUACUGAGACUUGUGAAACACCUCCUCCCCUCCAUGCCCCC